UAACUGUCGUUGGAACUUUGCCGGAAUUUCACCAAACCUCUGCCGGACUGUCGCUAGAACUUCGUAGGAGCUCCGCCGGAUCGUCGCCGGAAAUUUGAUAUUAAAUUAUAUUUCAUUACUAAUAUAGGUAAUUUAGCAUUUAAGGCCAAGGAUAAAUUUAUCCCAAAAAAAAAUUGUAAUUCCUUUCCCUAUCGAACUUUAUGUUAAAGCAAACUAUGAAAUUUAAUUUCACUAUUCUCCUCUACAUGACCUAAGAGCAAUAUUAGUACAUGCAACAUUAUAUAUUAAUAUCAUCACAUCACUAGAAUUACUUCCUAAUAUGCCGCGGUAUGUUUAAUUGCGCAUAAUUGAAAAUAAAAUAACUAUCAAUUUAUGCGAGAUUGCAGUUGAUUAUCGGCCACUUAGAGCUGAAGAUUACAGACGAAAUUGAAAGUCUCCCUUGAAAAGAUCACAGAAUAUGAUGGUAAGAAACAGAGAAAUUCCAAUAAUCAUUCUCAAACGAACACCAAAAACAAGACAUCAGGUAUAGUUGAUGCUGCUGAUCAAUUGAAAGAAUGUGACAGCAUAACAUAAAGAAGAGUAAGCCUUCAACCUCCCUUGCAUGCUUCGGAGUCCCAACCUUCUUACAAUUAAAUUAUUUUUUCAUCAAUUUUCACCCAUUUUUUACCUUAUCUUUUGAAUGAAAAUAAAAGUAAGUUGAAGUCUAGAAUAGUUUGAAGGUAUUCUAAAAAUUGUAGUUUCAUGAGGGCGUAAUCCGAAAUAAUCCUAUUAAAAAGGUUUAAAUAGGAAUUAUUUUGGUUGUUCUUCUAAAUCUAUUGGCUUCCAAACAAAUGCCAAGUUACGAUAUUUGGGUGACAAAUUAAUUUUUAGAUAAUAUAGCUUAAAAUAUUGAUGACUUAUUCCCAAUAGACUACAAAAGGUCAAGAAGAAAAUGCCUCUCUUUUCUCCUGAGUCCAACCUUGAUGGAUAAUGAAAGUAAUUGGGGUAAAUUUUGGAUUAUCGCUCAUGAACUAAUAAUUUUUAAUAUACUUUUAGAUUAUUAUAAAUUUUAGUUUUUCCCCAUUUUUGUUAAAAAGGCGAAAAACUUUUAAUUAAUCCAUUCUUAUUUUUCUCUUACCUUUUAAACAAAAGUGGGAGUAAGUUGAAGUUUAUAAUAAUUUAGAAAUAUUGUCAAUCCUAAUCUACUCAAAACUUAUUGCUGUUGAGCUGACCUCAUAAGUAUAACCUAAAGCCUAUGUUGGCGACUUAGUUUACAAGUACAACCUGAGGUUUAUGUGAAUGACUUAAUUUAAGAAUACAACCUCAAGCCUAUAUAAGCGACUGUGAAAUUCAUAUGUCUGAUAUGAAAGUGAAGUAAUCCAACCUCAAAAUAUAUUUGUUCGACUUGAGAAUUAGUUUGACAUAGAAAAUUGCUGGUCAAGAAAACGUGACCUAAUUUCUAGAGAAGCUGUAUGCCGCGAUCUAUUUAAACCAUCUCCAACUGACAACCACUUGCAACUGCUAAAGAAAGUGGGCUGAAGUUAAGGAAGUAACUGUCCACGACCAAGAGCCUACUUAAAUUGAAGAGCGCAUCAGGUGAAGGGGUGAGCAAAAUCAACCAAAGCUUCUACAAGAUUUUUAGCCCCUCUUCCGGAAAAUUACUUGACUUUAACUCAUUCAUAAUUCUUCAUUCUCAUUUUUCUUCUUUUAUACAUAAUUUCUGACUUAAGCAUCGGAGGGUCUAUGCCAGAACCCCACCGGCGUAUCCUAACCAUGUUUUCUGGUUGGCAGGUAUAAAAAGUUGCGAUCAAACUUGCGUUUGAGGUUGGAUUCGCACUGCAAUCCCCCAAAAGAAACAAACUCAGCUGUUGAGGUCGUUUUUCGCCAUCAACAAUAGUUAUCUUAAAAUAUUGAUGACUUACUCCCAAUAGACUACAAAAGGUCAAGAAGAAAAUGCCUCUCUUUUCUCCUGAGUCCAACCUUGAUGGAUAAUGAAAGUAAUUGGGGUAAAUUUUGGAUUAUCGCUCAUGAACUAAUAAUUUUCAAUAUACUUUUAGAUUAUUAUAAAUUUCAGUUUUUCUCUAUUUGUGUUAAAAAGGGGAAAACUUUUAAUUAAUCCAUUCUUAUUUUUCUCUUACCUUUUAAACAAAAGUGGGAGUAAGUUGAAGUUUAUAAUAAUUUAGAGGGCACUUUGAAAAUUGACCUUUCACAACGGGAGUAAUCCAAGUAAUUAAUCAAUUUUUUGACGAUUAAUACAAAAGGGAUGAAGCUAUUUGAAUUCUAAAAAUUAAUUACUUUGAACACUCUAUUAUUAUCUAUAUUUAUCUAAUAAGUUUAAGAAAUUAAGUUUUACUUUGUGCAUUCUUUAAAGUACCUAAAAAUAUUUCUUACUUAAACCAAUUAAAUUAAUCAUCUUUAUUUACUCAAAAUACCAAUAAAAUUAUUCAGCACACCCAAAUAAAAUUUUUAAGAAAAUUAGCAUACACUUAUAACAUUGAAAUCAAUUUAAGUUUAUAACAAAUGCUCGAACACAAUUUUAGUAAUUAAUUAUUUGUAAUAAAGAAAAUUUUCGUUUUUGCUCCCAAAAGGGAACUUUGUGCAAUCGAGAAAGAAGAAGAUGAUCAAUAUGGUUUGCAGUGCAACCGAGAAAGAAGAAGAGGAAGUUUGGGGUUUAAGAUAUGUUUUUUAUUUUUUGAAAAUCAUAAGCAAAAAAGACGGCUAUCUUAAUAGUUUUUUACUUUUAGAAAAAGAAUGAAAGGGUCACACUUACCUUAUAGGCAAAUAUUUUUUACUAUAACAUUUUUUUAAGAUGUUGGAAACAAAAAAUUCAGAAUUUAUGAAAAAAUAUUGUAUGUUGAAUAAUGGGUUUGUGUUAAGGGUGCUUGAAAUAAUUAUGUUAUAUUCAGCUCAUAAUAGAUAUUGUUUGUAAUAGUAUUUUACAUAAACGAUAUUUUUAUAUUCAAAAUAUUUUUUUAAAUGCUAAUAGUCCCAUCCAAACAAUAUUCAUCUUUUGCAAUCCAAAAACAAGAAUGCUUGGAUCCCCUAAUAAGCCUUGGCAUUAAUUUAUACUAAAUUAUACAUUCAUUAACAUUUAAGAGUUUCUAAGAUUUAGGGUCUUUUCCAUUAGUACUAUUUGAGUUAUUAUAUUUAUCUACUACAAUAAAGAUUAUAACCCCCAUAGCAUUUUAGGAAACUUGAAUACAAUUCUCAAAACUAGUCUCUCUCUCUCUCUCUCUCUCUCUCU
rnacentral:lncRNA from 1 species